rnacentral:rRNA from 1 species
GAUGAACGCUAGCGGCAGGCCUAACACAUGCAAGUCGAGGGGUAGAACACUUCGGUGUUUGAGACCGGCGCACGGGUGCGUAACGCGUAUGCAAUCUACCUUGUACAGGGGAAUAGCCCAGAGAAAUUUGGAUUAAUGCCCCAUAGUAUAUAACCUUCGCAUGUUGGUUAUAUUAAAGUUCCAACGGUACAAGAUGAGCAUGCGUCCCAUUAGUUAGUUGGUAAGGUAACGGCUUACCAAGACGAUGAUGGGUAGGGGUCCUGAGAGGGAGAUCCCCCACACUUGUACUGAGACGCGGACCAGACUCCUACGGGAGGCAGCAGUGAGGAAGAUUGGUCAAUGGGCGCAAGCCUGAACCAGCCAUGCCGCGUGCAGGAAGACGGUCCUAUGGAUUGUAAACUGCUUUUAUACAGGAAGAAACCCUCCCACGUGUGGGAGAUUGACGGUACUGUAGGAAUAAGGAUCGGCUAACUCCGUGCCAGCAGCAGCCGCGGUAA